UACGUAGGGGGGCAAGCGUUGUCCGGAAUCAUUGGGCGUAAAGCGCGUGUAGGCGGUCCGGUAAGUCCGCUGUGAAAGUCGGGGGCUCAACCCUCGAAUGCCGGUGGAUACUGUCGGGCUAGAGUGCGGAAGAGGCGAAGUGGGAAUUCCUGGGUGAUAGCGGUGAAAUGCGCAGACUAUCGAGAGGGAACACCUGGCGGCGAAGGCGGGUUGCUGGGGCUGAAUGACUGACGUGGGGGCGCGAAAGCCAGGGGAGCGAACGGGG
rnacentral:rRNA from 1 species